CCUCACCAUGAGAACAAGGACAUCAGACCUGCUUUGCCCGUGGACCUGUCUCCAGAGCCUACAACAAUGCUCAGCCUAUGAGAGGCGCCUCCUAGAAGACUUUCCAAUUCAACAAGCCUCAUUUAUAUGCAACUGGCAAUUUCUCUAAAAAGAAGAAAAGGGGAGAUUUUGCCAAUCAGUUGGCUUCACCAUCCCCUGGCCCCAAAGUGUGUUUAAGAAUAUUUGCCUGUGCAUUCAUGUGUUUUCCUUUGCAUCCCACAACAGGAAGAGUCUUGCUCUGUGGCCCAGGUUGGAGAGCAGUGGUAUGAUCAAGGCUCACUGCCCCGUACUCAUGCGGUCCUCCCACCUCAGCCUUCCUUCUCAGCCUUCCAGUAGCUGGGACUAGAGGCACACAUCAUCAUGCACAGCUCUGGGUUGCUUCAAUAAAUAUUUUUCAAUAAAUAUUUCUUCAAUAAAUAUUUAAUAAGACUAA